rnacentral:rRNA from 1 species
AUGCCAUGGGGGUGGAAAGCUUUAUUGCGGUUUUGGAUGGACUCGCGGCCUAUCAGCUUGUUGGUUGGGGUAAUGGCCCACCAAGGCGACGACGGGUAGCCGGCCUGAGAGGGUGACCGGCCACACUGGGACUGAGACACGGCCCAGACUCCUACGGGAGGCAGCAGUGGGGAAUAUUGCACAAUGGGCGAAAGCCUGAUGCAGCGACGCCGCGUGAGGGAUGACGGCCUUCGGGUUGUAAACCUCUUUCAGCAGGGAAGAAGCGAAAGUGACGGUACCUGCAGAAGAAGCGCCGGCUAACUACGUGCCAGCAGCCGCGGUAAUACGUAGGGCGCAAGCGUUAUCCGGAAUUAUUGGGCGUAAAGAGCUCGUAGGCGGUUUGUCGCGUCUGCUGUGAAAGCCCGGGGCUCAACCCCGGGUCUGCAGUGGGUACGGGCAGACUAGAGUGAUGUAGGGGAGACUGGAAUUCCUGGUGUAGCGGUGAAAUGCGCAGAUAUCAGGAGGAACACCGAUGGCGAAGGCAGGUCUCUGGGCAUUAACUGACGCUGAGGAGCGAAAGCAUGGGGAGCGAACAGGAUUAGAUACCCUGGUAGUCCAUGCCGUACACGUUGGGCACUAGGUGUGGGGGACAUUCCACGUUUUCCGCGCCGUAGCUAACGCAUUAAGUGCCCCGCCUGGGGAGUACGGCCGCAAGGCUAAAACUCAAAGGAAUUGACGGGGGCCCGCACAAGCGGCGGAGCAUGCGGAUUAAUUCGAUGCAACGCGAAGAACCUUACCAAGGCUUGACAUGAACCGGUAAAGCGUAGAAAUACGCUCCCCACUUGUGGCCGGUUUACAGGUGGUGCAUGGUUGUCGUCAGCUCGUGUCGUGAGAUGUUGGGUUAAGUCCCGCAACGAGCGCAACCCUCGUUCUAUGUUGCCAGCGGGUUAUGCCGGGGACUCAUAGGAGACUGCCGGGGUCAACUCGGAGGAAGGUGGGGACGACGUCAAAUCAUCAUGCCCCUUAUGUCUUGGGCUUCACGCAUGCUACAAUGGCCGGUACAAAGGGUUGCGAUACUGUGAGGUGGAGCUAAUCCCAAAAAGCCGGUCUCAGUUCGGAUUGAGGUCUGCAA